CAAGUACUGUGAAGGAAAGUUGCAAAGAACUUUGAAGAGAGAGUUCAAGAGAACGUGAAAUCGUUGAAGUUGAACCGGAGAGAGUUGACGUAGUAUAGUGGAUAAGUAUCGCAAGAAUCGCAUCAUUAUAAUAUGAUGAAUGUGAACGAGCGUUAUGUAUGCCAUUAAUAACUGCACUGACAGCAUCGACUACACGAUCUGAACUGUGUUGACAUGUUGCCCAUUCUAUAUUUAAUAGAAUGGUGUCUUGUGUUAUGUGGUAAAGUUUGUUGUUUAGUGUUGAUGUUGAAAAUGUUGUGAAUUAUUUAAUAAUGAUGUCAGUGUAAAAGUCAAUCACCUCUCCGACCCGUCUUGAAACACGGACCGAGGAGUGUAAUUUGUACGCAAGUCAAUAGGUGUUAAAACCUAAAGGCGUAAUGAAAAUGAAGGCACGGUUAACCGGUUAACAUGGGAGACGUUCGUUUGUUUGUUAAUCAGACAACGUUACGUUACACCAUGGCCCUGUCUUAUCUGUAUACAGAUGGGCAGCGGUAGAGCGUAUAGAUUGCGACCCGAAAGAUGGUGAACUAUGCCUGAGCAGGACGAAGUCAGAGGAAACUCUGAUGGAAGUCCGUAUCGGUUCUGACGUGCAAAUCGAUCGAUAGACUUGGGUAUAGGGGCGAAAGACUAAUCGAACCAUCUAGUAGCUGGUUCCCUCCGAAGUUUCCC
rnacentral:rRNA from 1 species